AAACUCUGUUUUCAUAUGUAUCAUGUAUAGUUUAGGAGGGGGCUAUGGCAGUGAGCUUCCACUUGGUUUUUCAAUGUCUUCCGUGUUAGCUCUCCCUCUCCACACUCCCCCCCCCCCUUUACCAGGCUCUCCCGUCCCAGUUAAUCCUUCCCAUUGUAUUACUCCCCUUCUCCCUUCAUAUCACUCACAUUCUGUCUUUCUCUUGAAUGCCUUCCCAGCCCCCUCCCUAGUCCCCUGCCUUCUACUGGGUACUCCAAUUCAAACACACGUGUGGAAAGACUCAAAGCUGGCAUCCACAUGUGAGAUAGAGCAUGUUCUGUUUCUGGGUCAGGGUUACUUCAGCCGGAAUGACUGAUCCGGCUGUAUUAAUCUGGCUGUAUAUAAUUCUGUAUCUUUCCAUUUACCUGUGAAGUUAAUAACUUUAUUUUUUUCUUUACGGAGUCAUGUACACACACGUACAACCAACUUACUGGAUAAUGUUCCAUUGUAUACCUAUCCCAUAUUUUCAUUAUCCGUUCAUCCAGGCUGGUUUCAUCUUCUGGCUGUUGUGGAUAGAGCAGCAAUGAACAUGGAUGAGCAGGGAUCUCUAGUGAGAUGCAGAGUCCUUUGGGGAUAUGCCUAAGAGUGGCAUAGCUGGGUCACAAGGAAGAUCUGUUUUCUAGCCUUUUGAGGAACCUCCACCCUGGUUUCCAGUGUGUCUGUACCGGUUUGUACUUCCACCAUCAGUGAAUAACUGUCUCCUUUCCCAAUGCCUGUUCUCUUUUUUUUUUCUUUUUAAAAAAAAUCUUAGCCAUUUUGACAUGGGAAAAAUAAGAUCACAAAGUGGUUUUAAUUUACAUUUCCCUGAUUGGUAUUUCCUUUUUUUGAAAGAUGUCUGUUUUAUAUAUAUGUUGUCAAAGACUUUUUCCCUUGUGUAGGCUGUUUCUUUUCUCAAAUGUCCUUUGCUGUACAAACACCUUUUAGUUUCUCGAGGUCUCAUUCGUCAGUUGUUGGUCUUAUUGCCUGUUCAGCCACGAUCCUCUUCCAAAAGUGCUUCCCUGUGCCUAUAAGUUGAAGCUCUUAGCCUGGGAGGGAACUUCAUGAAUCCUCCCCCAGGCUAUGUUAAUAGCUGUCAUUUUUUUUUUUUUGACCCAGGGUCUUACUUUGUGGCCCAGGCUGUCUCAAACGUGUAGUCUUCCUGUCUUCACAGACAUACAUUUUAAACUGUGAGUUAUGUUUGCAUUUAUGGUUAUAUUUUCUCAUAUCUGGGGCUGUUCUAGAAAAACAAAGCGACAAAUUGUUGAUGUUUCUCUUGGGAACUCCCAAGUAGUGUUUUUUACUACCGGACAUUGAUUGUACUGGACUGAAACUUCUUAGACUGCAAUAUCUUCCAGGCAGACUUGGGUAUCUCCAGGAUAGUGACCCCUUUACUCUACCCUAAGACACAAUAUCCACAUAUCAGAAGAAGAACAUUAAGGAGACAAAAGUCCUUGAUGAGCAUCAGGAAGAAGCUAAGGGUCUGCAGUCUACUUACACCCCAAGCUCUCAAACGGUUUUAAAAGAACUUUCAGGAAGAAGGAAGCAGAUGCUGGAGUGUCAUGGAAGAUUGCUUUAGUGUUUGGAGAAAUGCUGGAGACAAAGUAUUUGCCAAUGUGAAGACUCUUAACAAGAUGCAAAGAGUAAAACAAAACAAGCAAAACCAACAAUCAAAAAAGCUCUGGGUACCUGGGUAGUUGCUGUACCUGAGGGAUGUGGUGGGAGGUAGGGAGUAGUCUUGGGUGAUUAGGUGUCUACAGUAUGAGUAAGGCGGUUUGCUAUAGGUAGGGAGGUAAGAUGGCUUUCUAGGAGUCUGUCUGUCCGUCCAUCCACCCACCCAUCCAUCCAUGAAGGACCCAAGUACUAGAUUGGUUCCUAGAGUGAAGGAAAUGUGACCUGUGCCUUGAAAGGUCUCCUAGGCUGUCAGGAAAGCUAGGCAGAGAUUAAUAUUGUGUUGGUCCCGUGGGGACUUCAGAGGGGGCUUAAAGUUUGUGAUGGAAGCCAUGGCAAGCUAAGUCUCUUACAGUACGACAGUUAUCAGUGGGGCAAAGGAAUGGGAAAAUGAAUGUGAGCUAGGUUUUCUGAGCACGUACUAUGCAGAUCCUUUCCAGAAGGGCAAACAGAGGCAUGCAGUGAAAGGAGUUUAGGAUGACGUUAUUACUUUCUGAGUGUGGCUUCCUCCUCAUGCUAUCAGAAAUUAAGAGUAUAGACUUGACAGGGUCCCUUGAUCCCCCAGCCAUUAACGUAGGCAUCUAGUGUCCACUAUUUUCGAAUAAUCUAAAACUUACUAUUACAGCAGGAGAGAAGUUAGAUCUCUUUGCCUGGACAGAUGUCACAACCUUGCCAGUUCCCUGAGGUGGCUGCAGCAUCUUCCUCAGCCUUCUCUUGUCUGCCACACAGGCAGACUCCCCAUCAUUCUGCCAAGUUAAAACCGACUUCAGCUCACAUGUUCUCCAGGCACCGUGUCUACAAAUCCCACUCUUUAAUGUGUGCUGUUCCUCAAACCUCUUAAGCUCGUGGGUAUUUGAGUGCAGAGUCAGAAUGAACCUGCGGCUGUGUUUAUUUUUUGCUCAGUCACAUCCUUCCUUUGAGCUGAUGACUUGUUUGAAGCAGAAAGAGGGGGAUGUGGGGAGUGUGGUGGAGGAAAAGCAGCUUUCGAUAAUGCUUCAAAAUAUUACCCAGCCAAGUGUUGGCUUCAAGGCUUUAUU
rnacentral:lncRNA from 1 species